rnacentral:rRNA from 12 species
GGCGGAUGCCUUGGCUCUCAGAGGCGAUGAAGGACGCGAUCAGCUGCGAUAAGCUUCGGGUAGAUGCUAAUAAUCUUUGAUCCGAAGAUUUCCGAAUGGGGAAACCCGUCUGUUAUUACAGACCUAUGGCCAACCCGCUGAACUGAAACAUCUAAGUAAGCGGAGGAAGAGAAAACAAUAGUGAUUCCCUGAGUAGUGGCGAGCGAAAUGGGAACAGCCCAAACCGGUUGUGUUUCGGCAUGGCCGGGGUUGUAGGACUACAAAUGAAGGUAAAAAUGAAAUUGAAACUUCUGGGAAGAAGUGCGAUACAGGGUGACAGCCCCGUAAAUGUAAGUUUUUGCUAGAUAGUAGGAUCCUGAGUACCGCGGGACCGGAGAAAUCCUGUGGGAAGCUGCCAGCACCAUCUGGCAAGGCUAAAUACUCCUGAGAGACCGAUAGUGAACCAGUACCGU